GUCUAUGGCCAUGCUACCCUGAACAAGCCCUAUCCUGUCUGAUCUUAGAAGUUAAGCAGAUCUGGGCUGGUUAGUAUUUGGAUGGGAGACCACCUAGGAAGACCAGGUGCUAUAGGUG
rnacentral:rRNA from 1 species